rnacentral:lncRNA from 1 species
UUGUUCCAAGGAAACCUCAGAGUGUUUUGCUUCUCUUCCUUUUUCUGUCUGUUCUCCCUCUUUUAUAACCUGAUUUUCAUGGCUUUGUGGGCUCAAAUGAGAGUGGUCCAAAUCUGAGAUUUUUCUUUUAUUUAUUUAUUUACUUAAUUUUUUUUAUUUUUAUUUUUUUUCGUUUUUUUUUGUUUCUUUUUUGUUUCUUUUUUGUUUCUUUUUUGUUUUUUUGUUUUUUUUUGUUUUUUUGUUUUGUUUUUGUUUUGUUUUUUUUUGUUUUUGCAUAACACGUGGGCUUCGCCUAGCGAGCAUGACAACUCAUGAACAAACCUUUGCUCCUUCAAGAUUAACGUUUUG